AGAGUUUGAUCCUGGCUCAGGACGAACGCUGGCGGCGUGCCUAACACAUGCAAGUCGAACGGAGAUAAGCGCUGAUGAUUUAGCUUGCUAUUGAUUCUUGUUUAUCUUAGUGGCGGACGGGUGAGUAACGCGUGAGCAACCUGCCUUUCAGAGGGGGAUAACGUCUUGAAAAGGACGCUAAUACCGCAUGAGAUCGUAGUCCCACAUGGGACAGCGACCAAAGGAGCAAUCCGCUGAAAGAUGGGCUCGCGUCCGAUUAGAUAGUUGGCGGGGUAACGGCCCACCAAGUCGACGAUCGGUAGCCGGACUGAGAGGUUGAACGGCCACAUUGGGACUGAGACACGGCCCAGACUCCUACGGGAGGCAGCAGUGAGGGAUAUUGGUCAAUGGGGGAAACCCUGAACCAGCAACGCCGCGUGAGGGAUGACGGCCUUCGGGUUGUAAACCUCUGUCCUCUGUGAAGAUAAUGACGGUAGCAGAGGAGGAAGCUCCGGCUAACUACGUGCCAGCAGCCGCGGUAAUACGUAGGGAGCGAGCGUUGUCCGGAUUUACUGGGUGUAAAGGGUGCGUAGGCGGCUCUGCAAGUCAGAAGUGAAAUCCAUGGGCUUAACCCAUGAACUGCUUUUGAAACUGUAGAGCUUGAGUGAAGUAGAGGUAGGCGGAAUUCCCGGUGUAGCGGUGAAAUGCGUAGAGAUCGGGAGGAACACCAGUGGCGAAGGCGGCCUACUGGGCUUUAACUGACGCUGAGGCACGAAAGCAUGGGUAGCAAACAGGAUUAGAUACCCUGGUAGUCCAUGCCGUAAACGAUGAUUACUAGGUGUUGGAGGAUUGACCCCUUCAGUGCCGCAGUUAACACAAUAAGUAAUCCACCUGGGGAGUACGACCGCAAGGUUGAAACUCAAAGGAAUUGACGGGGGCCCGCACAAGCAGUGGAGUAUGUGGUUUAAUUCGAAGCAACGCGAAGAACCUUACCAGGUCUUGACAUCCGAUGCAUAGUGCAGAGAUGCAUGAAGUCCUUCGGGACAUCGAGACAGGUGGUGCAUGGUUGUCGUCAGCUCGUGUCGUGAGAUGUUGGGUUAAG
rnacentral:rRNA from 1 species